rnacentral:rRNA from 1 species
CAGUAGCCGCGGGAAUACGUAGGGUGCGAGCGUUAAUCGGAAUUACUGGGCGUAAAGGGCACGCAGGCAGUGACUUAAGUGAGGUGUGAAAGCCCCGGGCUUAACCUGGGAAUCGCAUUUCAUACUGGGCCGCUAGAGUACUUUAGGGAGGGGUAGAAUUCCACGUGUAGCGGUGAAAUGCGUAGAGAUGUGGAGGAAUACCGAAGGCGAAGGCAGCCCCUUGGGAAUGUACUGACGCUCAUGUGCGAAAGCGUGGGGAGCAAACAGGAUUAGAUACCCCGGUAGUCCCUGUCUCUUAUAC